rnacentral:lncRNA from 1 species
UGGGGUCAAUAAACUUUCUCCGUCUGCUGAUCGGUGUUGACAUCGUUCUGGUAAAAUAUAGGUUACUUUGGUGCGCUAACUAACAGAUCAGAUGAGAUAGAUAUAAUAGCUGCAGUUGGAUCGUGCAGCAAGGUGUACUAUCUUGACUAGACUGAACUCGACUGGACAAUAUCGGACUGCACUCUCACAUGCUUAUUUGUUCACUUAAUGUUGUACUUGUUUUUCACAACUGUAGUUUAUGAUGUUAAACAUUCAAUAAUAUUAUUUGAAUUUACAACCUGCCUGUCAUAAUAAGUUGUUUUAACUAACGACCUCCCGAUUAGAUAUUUUAUCUAUCAACAUACAGAUUGGAAUGUCGGCAUCAAUUUAAUUAUAAGACGACUCAAGGACAGUAUCUUGUUUUGUUAUGACUGCGUGUAAUACAUUUAUCAGCUUGUUCUAUCUCAUUUCCGAAAUUUAUCAUUAUGUUCCUUGAUUCGGCAUAUAAAAAUCUGACCCUGUCUUCAAAUAUAUACGUAUGCUGUUCUUUUUGAUAAUUCCUGUAUAUAUGAAUAUUCUUUAAAAUAUAGAUGUGGUAUUUGAAGGUCAUUUACAUAACAUACUAAUAUGAAAAUGGUAUAUACAGUGAAAUCUGCCUAAUCCGACAUCCGGGUAUUCCAACAUCCUGCUGUAACCGACACAUUUUCAUGGUCCCAAAAUAAACCUAUCUCUGAAGAAAAAACCUGAGUAUUCCGACACCCUGCUUAAUCCGACAUUUGUUUUUGGUACCCCAGUGUGUCGG